UGAAAGCCCCCGGCUCAACCGGGGAGGGUCCAUUGGAAACUGGGAAACUUGAGUGCAGAAGAGGAGAGUGGAAUUCCACGUGUAGCGGUGAAAUGCGUAGAGAUGUGGAGGAACACCAGUGGCGAAGGCGACUCUCUGGUCUGUAACUGACGCUGAGGAGCGAAAGCGUGGGGAGCGAACAGGAUUAGAUACCCUGGUAGUCCACGCCGUAAACGAUGAGUGCUAAGUGUUAGGGGGUUUCCGCCCCUUAGUGCUGCAGCUAACGCAUUAAGCACUCCGCCUGGGGAGUACGGUCGCAAGACUGAAACUCAAAGGAAUUGACGGGGGCCCGCACAAGCGGUGGAGCAUGUGGUUUAAUUCGAAGCAACGCGAAGAACCUUACCAGGUCUUGACAUCCUCUGACAACCCUAGAGAUAGGGCUUUCCCUUCGGGGACAGAGUGACAGGUGGUGCAUGGUUGUCGUCAGCUCGUGUCGUGAGAUGUUGGGUUAAGUCCCGCAACGAGCGCAACCCUUGAUCUUAGUUGCCAGCAUUCAGUUGGGCACUCUAAGGUGACUGCCGGUGACAAACCGG
rnacentral:rRNA from 1 species